GCGGGCAUCGUAUAUCGGCUUACCUCAGCCUCCAAGCUGAUGAUGCGGGUUCGAUUCCCGCUGCCCGCUCCA
rnacentral:tRNA from 1 species